GACGAACGCUGGCGGCGUGCUUAACACAUGCAAGUCGAACGGAAAGGCCCUGCUUUUGUGGGGUGCUCGAGUGGCGAACGGGUGAGUAACACGUGAGUAACCUGCCCUUGACUUUGGGAUAACUUCAGGAAACUGGGGCUAAUACCGGAUAGGAGCUCCUGCUGCAUGGUGGGGGUUGGAAAGUUUCGUCGGUUGGGGAUGGACUCGCGGCUUAUCAGCUUGUUGGUGGGGUAGUGGCUUACCAAGGCUUUGACGGGUAGCCGGCCUGAGAGGGUGACCGGCCACAUUGGGACUGAGAUACGGCCCAGACUCCUACGGGAGGCAGCAGUGGGGAAUAUUGCACAAUGGGCGGAAGCCUUAUGCAGCAACGCCGCGUGCGGGAUGACGGCCUUCGGGUUGUAAACCGCUUUCGCCUGUGACGAAGCGUGAGGGACGGUAAUGGGUAAAGAAGCACCGGCGAACUACGU
rnacentral:rRNA from 1 species